rnacentral:tRNA from 1 species
GCCUGUCUGUGGCCCGGUUGCGAUGGGGCAGCCCAUAUGGGCGGGCUCGGCCGGGUUAUGGCCGCCGCCCGUGCAGCCGGGCAGGCUGUUGCC